UACGGAGGGUGCAAACGUUGUCCGGAAUCACUGGGCGUAAAGCGCAUGUAGGUGGUUUAGUAAGUGAGCGAUUAAAGACCGACGCCUAACGUCGGGAAGGUUGCUCAUACUGCUAGACUCGAGUAUGGCAGGGGUAAGCGGAACUUUAGGUGUAGGAGUGAAAUCCGUAGAUAUCUGGAGGAACACCAGUGGCGAAGGCGGCUUCCUGGCCUGCAACUGACGCUGAGACGCGAAAGCGUGGGGAGCGAACCGG
rnacentral:rRNA from 1 species